AACUGGAGUGAGUUACAUCUGUCUUGAUCCUUCCUUUCCUUGGAAAGCAUGAUGUCGCCUCCUUUCCUCAUCUCUCUAAUCAUCUGUGGGGUCUUGUUGUCAUUAGCUGCAUCAACACACUCCAGGGAAACAGCACAGCUAAGGCUUAGCUAAACUGGCUCAAGAAUUUACCGUGGCCACAAGAGAUGACCAAAAGCACUUAAUGCUGUUCUUCCUGCUGUCCCUUUCUGAUCCUGUAACAGCACCCUGCACUUCAGUGUACUGAAGAAGUCCGCACCAUUAGAUGGGAAGCUGAUGCAGUGACAGCAUUCAUGGCAUCUUCCCUGUGCGUAUGGAGGACACUGGAAAUGCCAAUCUCUUAUUUCAGGGGGAAUAUGCUGCUCUCUUAAGAACUUCUGACACGCGGAUGUAGGCAGAGUUCAUUUUUCAUUAGAAACCUCAGUGACUCCAACUGACACAUGUGACGACAUUACACAAUUGGUAUCAAGACAUGCAUUGAUAUGAUUUCUCCAAUGAGUUUCGUACGGUAAGUGAUUGGCCUCUCCUGCUUUUCAGUGCAGGCAGCAUCUGCUUUUGUCCCCAUCCUUAGCUGAGCUGAACUUGUGUAUGAAGCGAUGUACAGGAUGCAGGUAUCGAGGUGCUGGCAUCUGGGGGAUGCAGGGGUGGCCUCUGAGAGGAGUGGCCAAGGCUGCCCCAUGCGGACAGAGACGGUUCCAGCCAGCUCCAACCAACCCACCGCAGGGCAUGGCCAAAGUGCCGUGGGGAAAGCCUGUGUAAGAAAGGGCAAAAAGCUGCACAGUCAGUGAGGAGUGAGGGGAAGAGCACAAGAAACAGUCCUGCAGACACCAAAGACAGAGCAGGAGGAAGGGAGGAGGUUCUCCAGGCACCUGAGCAGAGACUCCCCUGUAGCCCCCAGAGGAGACCACGCUGCCACAGCUGCCCACACUCAGCAUGUGGAGAGGAACACGCUGGAGGUGGUCAUGUCCUGAAGGAGCUGUGGCCCAUGCAGAGCCCAUGCUGCAGCAGGUUUAUCCCGAAGGACUGCAGCCCAUGGGAAGGGGCCACCCUGAAGAGGGGAAAAGAGUGCGGAGGAAGGAAAGGCUGAGAGGAGCUGUUAUGGACUGACCGCAGCCCCCCAUUCCCCAUCCCCUGUGCUGCUCGGGAGGAGGAGAUGGAGGAGUUGGGAAUGAGAGAGUGAAUUUGAGCAUGGAAAAAAGGAAGCCUGUGGGGAAGGUAGUUUUAUUUGUCUUUCUUUCUCAGCAUGGUACUCUAUUUUAAUUGGGAAUAAAUUAAAUUAAUUUUCUCCAAGUCAAGUCUGUUUUGUUCAUACAGUAAUUGGUAAGUGAUCUCCCUGUCUUUAUCUUGACCCAUGAGCUCUUUCAUCUUAUUUUCUCCCCAAUCCUGCUGAGGAGGCGGAAUGAGAGAGCAGCUGGAUGGACACCUGGCAACCAGCCACAGUCAACCCACCACAAUCAUUUACAACAGAAACUGGUACACUUUAGGAGUCACUCUUGGUUAUCCAAAUCAAAUCAUGUUGCAGUUUUGGCCUAUAAGGAUGGAUUUAUAGACUUCUUGGAGUUCAUAGCUGCAAUAAAUUUGGUUAUACGAGGGAAAAUUGACCAGAAAUUGAAAUGGUAUUU